rnacentral:rRNA from 1 species
UACGUAUGGUGCAAGCGUUAUCCGGGUUUACUGGGUGUAAAGGGAGCGCAGGCGGCGCGGCAAGUCCGAUGUGAAAACCCCCGGCUCAACCGGGGGACUGCAUUGGAAACUACCGGGCUGGAGUGCCGGAGAGGUAGGCGGAAUUCCUGGUGUAGCGGUGAAAUGCGUAGAUAUCAGGAGGAACACCAGUGGCGAAGGCGGCCUACUGGACGGUGACUGACGCUGAGGCUCGAAAGCGUGGGGAGCAAACAGG